AGGAUUUCUUCUUCAGGGAAGCCUCAGUUCUGCUUUCAAGGUCUUCCCACUGACUGAAUCCGGCUCCCCUGGAUGAAUGAGGAUCAUCUCCCUUAACUCAAGUCAACCAACUGUGGACUUGAUUCCCAUCUACAAGAUUUCUUCACAGCAACUCCUGGGAGAGAGUCUGGUUGAAUAACUGGAGGCUGUAACCUCACCAAGUUCAUGCAUCAAAAGAUGGUCACAAGAGCCUUUCCUAAUGAGCCCUUUCGGCUUCGCUGGUGGCUUAGCUGGAAAAGAAUCUGCCUGCAAUGCGAGAGACCAUGGUUCGAUUCCUGGGUGGGAAAGAUCCGCUGGAGAAGGGAUAGGCUACCCACUCCAGUAUUCUUGGGCUUUCCUUGUGGCUCAGCUGGUAAAGAAUCUGCCUGCAAUGCAGGAGACCUGGAUUUGACCCCUGGGUUGGAAAGAUCCCCUGGAGAAGGGAAAGGCUACUCACUCCAGUAUUCAGGCCUGGAGAAUUCCAUGGACUGUAUAGUCCGUGGGGUUGCAAAGAGUCGGACACGACUGAGCGACUUUCACUUUCACUUUACAACCAUCAUCCUGAUUUGUUCCUACAACAACAAGUGGUGUGAAGAGUCCUUGGGCUGCUCCUUGGAAAAGAGACAAUGGAGGGAGAAGGUACUGACGCAGAGUCUCAUGGGAACAGAUCCAGGAUUCUACCCACGGGCGUGGCUCAUCCAGUUCUGCCAGAAGGAAACCAGCUUGCCCCGGUAACCUGCAUCUUCAUGAGAAUGUCCAGAACUCAUCUGGGGCCUUGAGAAUGUGACGGAGGACAGCUCUUUGAACCCAAAUGAUGUGCAGGGUAACUGGAGGCUGGCUGGGCGGGGGUGGGGGGUCCCGUGGAAGGCUCCCCCAGGACACUGAACUUUGGAGCUGUUUUUAAAGUGGAUGGUUCCCCAAAGAGAAUGAAGAAUAAAUAUAUCUCAAGCUUAAUGCUCCGUUGAAGA
rnacentral:lncRNA from 1 species